rnacentral:rRNA from 1 species
UAUUAUUUUAGAUGUAAAUUAUUUAAACUUGAGUAGUAAUAGAUAAGAUCUUGAAACUUAAAGAAUUUGGCGGUAUUUUAGUCUAUUUAGAGGAAUCUGUCCCGUAAUCGAUAAUCCGCGUUGGACCUUACUUAAUUUAAAAAUAAUAUGUAUACCGCCGUUGUUCAAAAUCUUUUUAGAGUUUAAAAUUUUUUUAAUAUUUAUUAUAUAAAUUUUCAGGUCAAGGUGCAGUUUAUAAUUAAGUGGUGAUGGAUUACAAUAUUUAUAUUAUAUAUGAAUUAUUAUCUGUAAUUGAUAAUAUGAAGGUGGAUUUAAUAGUAAUAUUAUGAAGAUUGUUAAUAUGAUUUUAGCUCUAAAAUAUGCACACAUCGCCCGUCGCUCUCGUUAUGUUUAAAGUGAG